CCUACGGGUGGCAGCAGUGGGGGAUAUUGCACAAUGGGGGAAACCCUGAUGCAGCGACGCAGCGUGGGUGAAGAUGUAUUUCGGUAUGUAAAGCCCUAUCAGCAGGGAAGAAAGAAGACGGUACCUGACUAAGAAGCCCCGGCUAACUACGUGCCAGCAGCCGCGGUCAUAUGUAGGGGGCGAGCGUUAGCCGGAUUCACUGGGUGUAAAGGGAGCGUAGACGGCUGUGCAAGGCAGUAGUGAAAGCAUGGGGCCCAUCCGCGGGACUGCUAUUGGACCUGUGCGGCUAGAGUGUGGGAGGGGCAGGCGGAAUUCGUGGUGUAGCGGUGAAAUGCGUAGAUAUCACGAGGAACGCCGAUGGCGAAGGCAGCCUGCUGGACCGCGACUGACGUUGAUGCUCGAAAGCGUGGGGAGCGAACAGGAUUAGAUACCCCAGUAGUC
rnacentral:rRNA from 1 species